rnacentral:lncRNA from 1 species
ACUCCCUAUUUUGAGUUUGUACCAAUGUCUAGCUUUUCCCGUUAAAGAGAACAGAAAGAGCUUCCAUUUAAGGGUCUCAUCGGACAUUCCUUCUAUGCGAAGGAGGUCACAGACUCGAUAAAACUCUCUUAGGUGUGUGUAUGGGUUUUCCUCACCUUCUCCUGAGAAAGGUUGUUUUUGAACAAAUUCUAUGUAUUCGGGGUCUAUCUCAAAACUAGAUGCUAUGAUAGGCUUUGAAGAUUUUGGUGGUUCGAGAUGUGUGCCCGUAGGUCUAUGAAAUUCAUAGAUGGACAUGUUUGAAUUCAUGAUAGACCAGAGAUUAAGGAUUAGAUAAGAAGAAAGAAUAGCAGACAUGAGGCAAAGGAUAAAAGGAAAAUAUUUUUUUAUAUUUUUUUUAGAAAAUGAUUAAGCU